rnacentral:rRNA from 1 species
CUACGGGGGGCACCAGUAGGGAAUAUUGCGCAAUGGGCGAAAGCCUGACGCAGCAACGCCGCGUGGAUGAUGAAGGCCUUUGGGUCGUAAAAUCCUUUCAGGAGGGAAGAAACGUCGAUGUGCCAAUAACACAUCAACCUGACGGUACCUCCAGAAGAAGCACCGGCUAACUCCGUGCCAGCAGCCGCGGUAAUACGGAGGGUGCAAGCGUUGUUCGGAAUCACUGGGCGUAAAGGGCACGCAGGCGGUACUCUAAGUCGGAUGUGAAAUCCUACGGCUCAACCGUAGAAAUGCACCCGGUACUGGAGAACUUGAGUACGGGAGAGGGAAGCGGAAUUCCAGGUGUAGAGGUGAAAUGCGUAGAUAUGUGGAGGAACACCAAUGGCGAAGGCAGCUCUCUGGCCUGAUACUGACGCUGAGGUGCGAAAGCGUGGGGAGCAAACAGGAUUAGAUACCCGAGUAGUC